rnacentral:rRNA from 1 species
CAGCUCGUGUCGUGAGAUGUUGGGUUAAGUCCCGCAACGAGCGCAACCCUUGUGAUUAGUUGCCAGCGGUUCGGCCGGGGACUCUAGUCAGACUGCCCAGAUCAACUGGGAGGAAGGUGGGGACGACGUCAGGUCAGUAUGGCCCUUACGCCUAGGGCUGCACACGUACUACAAUGCCCAGCACAAUGAGAACCGAGAA